GGCCUGGUGGUGUAAUGGUUGUACACUUGCUCUAUCUAUCAUUUAUCCAUAGAAUGUACAGCAGGAGAUUCCUUGUUCAAAUCAAGGCCAGGCCC